rnacentral:rRNA from 1 species
CUAACCUACUAAAUAGUUGAUAUUUAUUUAUAAGAAUAUACAACUUCUUAGAGGGAUUUGCGGUGUUUAGCCGAAAGAAAUUGAGCAAUAACAGGUCUGUGAUGCCCUUAGAUGUCCGGGGCUGCACGCGCGCUACACUGGCAAAAUCAACGUGCUUGUCCUUCCCCGAAAGGGGCGGGUAAACCAUUGAAAAUUUGCCGUGAUUGGGAUCGGAAAUUGCAAUUAUUUUCCGUGAACGAGGAAUUCCAAGUAAGUGCGAGUCAUCAGC